ACGUACGACCACAGCCACUGGAAAACUCGGGGUCCCGUCCGCUCCCCCAAUGGAUAAGCCAGCGAGCGCCGGAUUAGUAGUCGGGUCGGUGACGACCGGCGAAUCCCCGGUGUUGUACGUU
rfam:Fungal sp. No.14919 DNA, contig: Contig0005.